rnacentral:rRNA from 1 species
CACUCCUAUGGGAGGCAGCAGUGGGGAAUUUUGGACAAUGGGCGAAAGCCUGAUCCAGCAAUGCCGCGUGAGUGAAGAAGGCCUUCGGGUUGUAAAGCUCUUUUGUCAGGGAAGAAACGGUGAGAGCUAAUAUCUUUUGCUAAUGACGGUACCUGAAGAAUAAGCACCGGCUAACUACGUGCCAGCAGCCGCGGUAAUACGUAGGGUGCAAGCGUUAAUCGGAAUUACUGGGCGUAAAGCGUGCGCAGGCGGUUUUGUAAGUCUGAUGUGAAAUCCCCGGGCUCAACCUGGGAAUUGCAUUGGAGACUGCAAGGCUAGAAUCUGGCAGAGGGGGGUAGAAUUCCACGUGUAGCAGUGAAAUGCGUAGAUAUGUGGAGGAACACCGAUGGCGAAGGCAGCCCCCUGGGUCAAGAUUGACGCUCAUGCACGAAAGCGUGGGGAGCAAACAGGAUUAGAUACCCCUGUAGUCCCAUGA